rnacentral:rRNA from 1 species
CCUACGGGAGGCUGCAGUAGGGAAUUUUGCGCAAUGGGGGAAACCCUGACGCAGCAACACCGCGUGAAUGUUAAGCCCUUCGGGGUGUAAAGUUCUUUCAAUAGGGACGAAUUUUGACUGUACCUAUAAAGGAAGCACCGGCUAAUUCCGUGCCAGCAGCCGCGGUAAUACGGGGGGCGCAAGCGUUGUCCGGAAUCAUGGGGCGUAAAGCGUUCGUAGGCGGUUUGUCAAGUCUGAUGUGAAAGCCCGGGGCUCAACUGGGGUUCGGCAUUGGAUACUGGCAGACUAGAAUGUGGUAGAGGUGAGGGGAAUUCCAGGUGUAGCGGUGAAAUGCGUAGAUAUAAGGAGGAACAUCAGUGGCGAAGGCGGUUUACUGG